rnacentral:rRNA from 1 species
AACGAACGCUGGCGGCAGGCCUAACACAUGCAAGUCGAGCGCUCUAGCAAUAGGGAGCGGCGCACGGGUGAGUAACGCGUAGGAAUCUACCUUGUAGUCCGGAACAACAGUUGGAAACGACUGCUAAUACCGUAUACGCCCUUCGGGGGAAAGAAUUGCGCUAUAAGAUGAGCCUGCGUUAGGUUAGCUAGUUGGUGAGGUAAUGGCUCACCAAGGCUCCGAUCUAUAGCUGGUCUGAGAGGAUGAUCAGCCACACUGGGACUGAGACACGGCCCAGACUCCUACGGGAGGCAGCAGUGGGGAAUAUUGGGCAAUGGGCGCAAGCCUGACCCAGCCAUGCCGCGUGAGUGAUGACGGCCUUAGGGUUGUAAAGCUCUUUUAGUGGUGAGGAUGAUGACGGUAACCACAGAAAAAGCCCCGGCUAACUUCGUGCCAGCCGCCGCCGUAA